rnacentral:rRNA from 1 species
GUGGGGAAUAUUGGGCAAUGGACGCAAGUCUGACCCAGCAACGCCGCGUGAAGGAAGAAGGCUUUCGGGUUGUAAACUUCUUUUAAGGGGGAAGAGCAGAAGACGGUACCCCUUGAAUAAGCCACGGCUAACUACGUGCC